ACUACUGGCAUCUGGCUGAAGUAUCUGUCACAUGGACAGACGUCAUUCACCAGCGGUUUUGCAUUGCUUGAGUGGUGCUUUCACUGUGUUUAGAGAAAGCAUGGAAACGCGUGACUAUGGUAAAGUGUAGAAGCUUUGUGAUUAAGAAGUUCAUGCCUCUCCAUAUUGGACAGCUAGUACGCCACUCAACAUGAUGGCAAACUCCAGAACUGAGAGUGAUAUCCAGCAACAAGAACUGGAUCAAAUGUAUCAUUAUGAAGGAUUAUGCAUAACUCAUCUCAUUGUGUAUUAAACUAUUUUAUACCAUG